rnacentral:rRNA from 1 species
GAUGAACGCUGGCGGCGUGCCUAACACAUGCAAGUCGAACGGAGUCGUUUUGGAAAUCUCUUCGGAGAUGGAAUUCUCGACUUAGUGGCGGACGGGUGAGUAACGCGUGAGCAAUCUGCCUUUAAGAGGGGGAUAACAGUCGGAAACGGCUGCUAAUACCGCAUAAAGCAUUAAAUUCGCAUGUUUUUGAUGCCAAAGGAGCAAUCCGCUUUUAGAUGAGCUCGCGUCUGAUUAGCUAGUUGGCGGGGUAACGGCCCACCAAGGCGACGAUCAGUAGCCGGACUGAGAGGUUGAACGGCCACAUUGGGACUGAGACACGGCCCAGACUCCUACGGGAGGCAGCAGUGGGGAAUAUUGCGCAAUGGGGGAAACCCUGACGCAGCAACGCCGCGUGAUGGAAGAAGGCCUUCGGGUUGUAAAGAUCUUUAAUCAGGGACGAAACAAAUGACGGUACCUGAAGAAUAAGCGCCGGCUAACUACGUG